rnacentral:rRNA from 1 species
UAGCUAGUUGGUGAGGUAAAGGCUUACCAAGGCGACGAUCUGUAGCGGGUCUGAGAGGAUGAUCCGCCACACUGGAACUGAGACACGGUCCAGACUCCUACGGGAGGCAGCAGUGGGGAAUUUUGGACAAUGGGGGCAACCCUGAUCCAGCCAUGCCGCGUGAGUGAAGAAGGCCUUCGGGUUGUAAAGCUCUUUCGGCCGGGAAGAAAUCGCAUGGGCCAAUACCCUGUGUGGAUGACGGUACCGGAAUAAGAAGCACCGGCUAACUACGUGCCAGCAGCCGCGGUAAUACGUAGGGUGCGAGCGUUAAUCGGAAUUACUGGGCGUAAAGCGUGCGCAGGCGGUUUUGUAAGACAGGCGUGAAAUCCCCGGGCUUAACCUGGGAACUGCGUUUGUGACUGCAAGGCUAGAGUACGGCAGAGGGGGGUGGAAUUCCACGUGUAGCAGUGAAAUGCGUAGAGAUGUGGAGGAACACCAAUGGCGAAGGCAGCCCCCUGGGUCGAUACUGACGCUCAUGCACGAAAGCGUGGGUAGCAAACCGGAUUAGAUACCCUGGUAGUCCACGCCCUAAACUAUGUCAACUAGGUGUUGGGUGGGUAAAACCAUUUAGUACCGUAGCUAACGCGUGAAGUUGACCGCCUGGGGAGUACGGCCGCAAGGUUAAAACUCAAAGGAAUUGACGGGGACCCGCACAAGCGGUGGAUGAUGUGGAUUAAUUCGAUGCAACGCGAAAAACCUUACCUACCCUUGACAUGCCAGGAACUUGCCAGAGAUGGCUUGGUGCCCGAAAGGGAGCCUGGACACAGGUGCUGCAUGGCUGUCGUCAGCUCGUGUCGUGAGAUGUUGGGUUAAGUCCCGCAACGAGCGCAACCCUUGUCGUUAAUUGCCAUCAUUUAGUUGGGCACUUUAACGAGACUGCCGGUGACAAACCGGAGGAAGGUGGGGAUGACGUCAAGUCCUCAUGGCCCUUAUGGGUAGGGCUUCACACGUCAUACAAUGGUCGGUACAAAGGGUUGCCAAGCCGCGAGGCGGAGCCAAUCCCAGAAAGCCGAUCGUAGUCCGGAUUGCAGGCUGCAACUCGCCUGCAUGAAGUCGGAAUCGCUAGUAAUCGUGGAUCAGCAUGUCACGGUGAAUACGUUCCCGGGUCUUGUACACACCGCCCGUCACACCAUGGGAGCGGGUUCCGCCAGAAGUAGGUAGCCUAACCGCAAGGGGGGCGCUACCACGGCGGGGUUCGUGACUGGGGUGAAGUCGUAACAAGGUAGCCGUAGGGGAACCUGCGGCUG